GACGAACGCUGGCGGCGUGCUUAACACAUGCAAGUCGAACGAAGAGCGACGGAAGCUUGCUUCUAUCAAUCUUAGUGGCGAACGGGUGAGUAACGCGUAAUCAACCUGCCCUUCAGAGGGGGACAACAGUUGGAAACGACUGCUAAUACCGCAUACGAUCUAAUCUCGGCAUCGAGGAUAGAUGAAAGGUGGCCUCUACAUGUAAGCUAUCACUGAAGGAGGGGAUUGCGUCUGAUUAGCUAGUUGGAGGGGUAACGGCCCACCAAGGCGAUGAUCAGUAGCCGGUCUGAGAGGAUGAACGGCCACAUUGGGACUGAGACACGGCCCAGACUCCUACGGGAGGCAGCAGUGGGGAAUCUUCCGCAAUGGACGAAAGUCUGACGGAGCAACGCCGCGUGAGUGAUGACGGCCUUCGGGUUGUAAAGCUCUGUUAAUCGGGACGAAAGGCCUUCUUGCGAACAGUUAGAAGGA
rnacentral:rRNA from 1 species